rnacentral:tRNA from 1 species
AGGGCUUUAGCUUAAUUAAAGUGUCUGGGUUGCAUUCAGAAGAUGUGGGGUAAAGUCCCGCAGGUCUUA